ACAACCAUAUCACUCUGAAACACCAGUUCUUGUUCAAUCACUAAAGUUAAGCAAUGUCAAUCCUGGUCAGUACUUUGAUGGGUGACUGCUUAGGAAUACUAGGUGCUGUAAG